rnacentral:rRNA from 1 species
CAUCACUACGCUAGAUGCAUAUCAAUAAGCGGAGGAAAAGAAACUAACUAGGAUUCCCCUAGUAACGGCGAGUGAAGCGGGAAGAGCUCAAAUUUGAAAUCUUAAAGGGUUCUACCUUGACGAAUUGUAGUUUAAAGAAGUGUUUUCUGUUGGAGUUUCGGUAAAAGUUCUUUGGAAUAGGACAUCAUAGAGGGUGAGAAUCCCGUAUUUGACCGUUACUUUCCAGCUGUGUGAUACACUUUCAAAGAGUCGGAUUGUUUGGGAAUGCAGUCCAAAAUGGGUGGUAAAUUUCAUCUGAAGCUAAAUAUUGGCGAGAGACCGAUAGCGAACAAGUACCGUGAGGGAAAGAUGAAAAGAACUUUGAAAAGAGAGUUAAACAGUACGUGAAAUUGUCAAAAGGGAAGCGUUUGACACCAGUGUUGUUUAGUUGAAAAUCAAUUCAAUAAUUUUUGAUUUUAAGUAGUAUUGACUUCAUCAGCUUGCUGCUUUCUUUUCAGGAAUUAUUGAAUGCACUUUUCAGUUAACAAGUCAACAUCAAUUUCUUUUGUUGUAAAAGGGUAAGAGGAAGGUGGCUUACGCUUCGGCGUAAGUGUUUAUAGCCUUUUACCUCUGCAAUCGGAGAGAUUGAGGACAGCAGCGUAGACUCUUCGGGGUUAGAUACACUUGUGCUAAGCUAUAGCCUUGUAUAGACAACUUGUUGACUAUGCUCAGUCAUGUAGCUUACUCGCUUGUGCUAUUUUACCUAUGCUUAGGAUGUUGACGAGACUGUCGAUCUC